UGCAAAUCCAUGUAGCUCGGUUCGACUCCGGGACACGCCUCCAUAACUCCUCGCCCGGCAAUAUCAUCUAUUUU
rnacentral:tRNA from 1 species